rnacentral:misc_RNA from 1 species
GAUCGCCCGAUCGCUGAGCUCCAUUGGCGGGAUUUCGCCGUCUACGUUUCUCUUUCUUCGCGGACGAACACGCGCUGGGCCUGCACGCAGCAGGAUCCGGGGUCCUUGACGGGAUAUGCGUUAGGGGCUUGUAGCUCAGUUGGUUAGAGCGCGCGCUUGAUAAGCGUGAGGUCGGAAGUUCAAGUCUUCCCAGGCCCACCACACUCAUCGAGUGAGCAUUCGUCUUCUGGUUACGGGGCCAUAGCUCAGCUGGGAGAGCGCGUGCUUUGCAAGCAUGAGGUCGUCGGUUCGAUCCCGUCUGGCUCCACCAGAUGGUUUGAUCAUCGACUGAUUGUGCACCGUCGUCCGCGAAACAUCACUUCGCAUCCUGCUAGUCUGGAUAGACGGCAAGAUGCGUGUUUUCUGACAUCGUAAAGAGGAGAUCGAUCCGAGUUGGGUCGUGUGGCAGAUUGCUGCGCGAAUCCUUCAUUAUCUCCGGAUCAUUUUCGGCGCUCAUGGCCGACCGCAAGGUUGGCUCUCGAGUUGUAAAAUGAUCCUUUUAGCGAAGCUUGACCGCCUCGCUAUCGGAACGAUCUUACGAAGCAAGCUGGUCUUUCUAAUCAUUGUCCGGCUGUACGUAGCGUUCAUCGAGGGCGCGUGCCUUAGAGAUUUCGGUCUCUUGGCAAUCGUACAGACAACAUUCUGCCGAGUGUGUGGACAUUGAUAAUGAGAGCAAUCAAGUGCCUUAAUGGUGUUCGGUGGAUGCCUUGGCGCUGAGAGGCGAUGAAGACGUGCUACGCUGCGAUAAGCCGUGGGGAGCUGCGAAGAAGCUUUGAUCUACGGAUUU